rnacentral:rRNA from 1 species
GACGAACGCUGGCGGCGUGCUUAACACAUGCAAGUCGAACGGAAAGGCCCUGCUUUUGUGGGGUGCUCGAGUGGCCAACGGGUGAGUAACACGUGAGUAACCUGCCCUUGACUUUGGGAUAACUUCAUGCCACUGGUGCUAAUACCGGAUAGGAGCUCCUGCUGCAUGGUGGGGGUUGGACAGUUUCGCUGGUUGGGGAUGGUCUCGCGGCUUAUCAGCUUGUUGGUGGGGUUGUGGCUUACCAAGGCUUGGACGGGUAGACGGUCUGAGAGGGUGGCCGGCCAAGUUGGGUCUGGGAUGCGGCCCAGACUCCUACGGGAGGCAGCGGUGGGGAAUGUUGCACAGUGGGCGGAAGCCUGAUGCAGCAACGCCGCGUGCGGGAAAACGGCCUUCGGGUAGGAAACCGCUUUCGCCUGUGACGAAGCGUGAGUGACGGUAAUGGGUAAAGAAGCACCGGCUAACUACGUG